UACGUAGGGGGCAAGCGUUGUCCGGAUUUAUUGGGCGUAAAGAGCUCGUAGGCGGUUUGGUAAGUCUGGUGUGAAAUCUCCACGCUCAACGUGGAGGGGCCACCCGAUACUGCCAUGACUGGAGUCCGGUAGAGGAGUGUGGAAUUCCCGGUGUAGCGGUGAAAUGCGUAGAUAUCUGGAGGAACACCGGUGGCGAAGGCGGCAUCCUGGACCGACACUGACGCUGAGGAGCGAAAGCCAGGGGAGCAAACGGG
rnacentral:rRNA from 1 species